AGAUGGACGCAGCAGGGGAGAGAAGAGCAAAAACUAAACAAUAGGAAGGAACGUCCCCAUACCAUCGUCAGAGGAUGGACAUGGAGUGGGGGGGCAGAGGCAGGCUUCCAGAACUUUCUCUGUGAGGAAGUGACUGCGAGGCACCUGAAAGCGCAUCAACUGCUCCAUCGAUGUCUCCAUCCCGUCGUGGCUACCGACGGUAACUUGGUGCCCCCAGUACAGGGCUCUGCGAUGUGUGCUUGGUGGCCUAGUCGACCCAAAUAGCAGGUGGCAGAUCUGAGCUGUAAACAGAGACUCAUGUACUGCUGCAUGCGCAAAACGACACAAAUAUUGAGGCAGUGGAAUGGAGGCGAAGGUUGUUAAAGACUCUGAGGGCUACUGGAUCAUAUUCAGGCAAUGAAGCACAACGGAGCAGAUCAAGCGAAGUGACCAACCUUCACAGCUUCUAUCCUCAGGCCCAUCAUCCUUCUAAAUCCUUCUAAACAUGGACCCUUCUGACGUUAAACUGCUCCACUAUUUAAAACUUUUUUUGGUGCUAUGCUGCCCCCUGGUGACACUGCUGGUCAUUACAUGGGUUCUAGCACAAUGUGACAUGCAGAUGAAUCGAAUACAUUUUUACCUUUUAGACCAUCAUUCAAGCGGUGAAAUAUAUAGCAGAAUAGCGGAUUGUCUUAAGAAGCACUGCAUUAGAAUCAGUAUCAUUCAUUGGCAAAUUUCAGGAUUUUGUUUUGGUGCGGUUGAUGGAUUGACGUUUAUGUCAAUAAACUGACAUAAACUGAAAAUGGCUGAUAUAGUGUUUGCGGUGUCAUGCUUAUAUAUGUAGCCAGUCUUCACUGAUUGCACAUCCCAUCAGUGAGAGCAGAGAGUGAAGGUUGAAUUAGCAGAGCGAUAGCACAGCUGUACAAAAAAAACUGCCAUCCACACGACAUAACGGGAGACACAUCGGACUUCAGAAGAGGACAAAUGGUUGAUGCGCGUCUCACUGGCACAUCUGUGACUUGGACAGCAAGCUUUUGUGGUGAGAGCCACGGUAUCUAGGGUCAUGGUGACACACCACCCCGAAGGACGGACCACAUCCAGUAGGAGUAACUGUGGAUGCAAGAGGAAGCCGUCUGAAAGUGGAAUCCGGGCAGCAACCUGGGUUGUAUCCAAAAAACAUAAAACCGCAGCAGCUGAUCGGCUCACUGCAGAUUUAAAUGAACACAUCGACUUUCCAGUUUCCAGCAAAACUGUUCGUCAGAAGCUCCACGGGGUCAGUAUUCAUGGUCAGGCUGCUAUAGCCAAACCCAUGGUCACUCCUGCCAAUGCCAAACGCCGGUUUCAAUGUUGCCAAAUCUUGGGCUGCGGACAUUGCGAAAUAUAUUGCUCUCUGAUGAGCCCUGUCUUUCCAACAUCUGGGAGAGUUACGCUGUGGAGAAGCCCCAAAGAGGCCCUGCACCACACUAAUACAUUACCGUGGUCUAAAACCAGGUGUUUCAGCUUCAUUGUCUAUCCCCUGUAUAAAUAAAGGUGAGAGAAGCAGAUGUUGGAUACGGAUAGUUUUGGGGUAUGUGCAAAUAAGUUCAUGAAGUCAAAACAAACAGCACAGCAUAAGUGCUCUCUGUGUUCUGAAGUACAGCAUUUUGCCUGGUCACUAAACCCAGGACAGGCAUGCAUCAUUUUGCAUUUUCGGCCAAAAAGCCAGUAAUUAAGCAAAUAGUAAGAAUAAUGCAGUGUGUAAAAAGAUGUACAAGCUCAGAGGGUGGAUGUGAGGUCGAAAGCACUGAGGGAAGAAUUAAUCACCCCAAAGAACAAAGAGGUAUAAAAUGCCACUUUAAACUAGCAUGAGGGUGUUUGUCUCCAUCCUUCUAUCUAUCUAUCUAUCUAUCUAUCUAUCUAUCUAUCUAUCUAUCUAUCUAUCUAUCUGUCUAUCUAUCUGUCUGUCUGUCUGUCUGUCUGUCUGUCUAUUCUGCUCAUUUAAUGUAUUUAUUUGACUAUUCCUGGACUACUUUGGUCGAAUGAUAUUAUAGUAAUUUGCUUUAUAAAUAAGAUUGACAGAACUUAAUUUGACACCCCAAGCCCAAAUUCUCAGGAUUCAAGAUUCAACAUUUUAUUUUUUUCACACGCACAGUUAGGCUGGCACAGCUUGCGGUGAAAUGUAACUCCGGAUCGCUCCAGAGACCUUGCAAAAGAUGGACUUUAGAUAAAUAAAGGUUAGUAAAUAAGA